ACAAUCAGCAAAUAAAUGAAUUGAUUUGAGGAUCAUGUCGUGGUGCGGUAGAUACACCAGUGGAAACUAUGGAUAACGGACUUUUCGAACUCUGAAACUCGCUUCAAUAAAAGAUGCGGUUGCACCUACAUCUGUAAGAGUAUUCCAUAUUAUAUCCAUUGUGGAAGCCAGCAUAGCAAUUCGCGAAAGAAAGGCAAUAUUCAAAGUGAAAACUAGUGUCGGACUUUAUUUAAAGUUCCUGAUAACCUGAAGCUGUGGCUGCAUAGAGGGCGCCUUCGACUGCGCCUGGUGGCCAGCCAUUAAGAACCAGCUAAUUAAAAUGAACUGCGCCCGAAACCGAAAAAUCCCUUGAAAUGUACGAUAACGAAAACCUUGAAGUCGGCAAGAAAUAGCCAGAAUAAAUAAAUAAAUAAAAGUUUAUUAAUAAAUAGUGUGUGAAUAGUAGGUCACAGCGAGCGAGUGAAAAGAAUUGCCAUUUUUCAAGCGUGAUGCUGCCGCUGGUCGCUGCAAUAGCUGCGUGCAUAUACCUACUUGAACCAGUUUGUCACAUUAUGUAACGAAACGGUUGCGGUAUUUAAAGAUUUUAACCUUGCUCGACCCUUCAGCUCCUGAGGUUAACUCCUCGAAAAAAUUGAUUAAGGAAUUCAAAAAGAUAAUAAGGCGAAAAUAGAAGAAAGCGAUUAGCGGCUUUAAGGUCUAAAAAAACAUGGUGUUUGCAAAAGAAAACGUGCGAACUUAUAAAACUUACAAUGUUUUUGCAUUGAUUUUGAAAUAAAUCUUUGAAACUGUUUGAACCAAGCGCCCAACGUAAUCGAGAAAUUAAAAACUUGUUCAUUUAUCAACCAAAAAACCGCCGAUUUACUGUCUUCAAUCGAUGUAGCCAAUCGGAAUUCCUUAAAAAGGUUCUUGUGUAAAAAUAUCACCGAUCAAAAGUACAGGCCAAAAUUGGGGGAAUUUGCCUGAAGGCUCUUUAAGUUCCAAAGCUUACAUCUUUGUUAGUAAACAGUUUAACACAUGUUUUGCCUGAUACGCGUACACAGUCAAGAAGCUAAUAAACAAGCGAAACGGCGAAUCAGCUUUUUCUGCAGAGAAUGUAUCAAUGCUGUUAAAGUUUUAAUCAAUACAAAGAAAAUCCAUUAUCACAAAACAAUACCCGCCCUUAGUUUUGAUGAAAUGGCUAUAACACAAGGUUUGGAUUUUGAUGGCAGAUUUCGCCUGGAAAUAUUUCUUCACUGAGUUUUAAGGAGGUAAAUCAGUUUUUCACACACGUAAUGAAAUGAUAUUUUACUAAAAAAGAAAAGCAUAACCAAUUUUAAAUAUGCCUCUCUAUCAAAGAUGCAGAAAAAAGAAUUAUCCGGAAAAUCCAAAAAUAUCUAAUCCAGACAGCAGCAUAGUGAGUUUUCACCGUUAAGCAAUGCUCAAAAGGCUUCCAAGCUGGCAUGACAGACUACAUUGUGGCUUGCAAAAUUGCUAAAGCAAUAAAACCUUUUCAAAUAAAAAUUUGUAAAAGGCAAUGUUGAUAGUAUAGUAGAAUAGUUGACUAAUAAUUUAUGCCGAAAAAAAAAAACAAAUGCGUUUGAAUUGGUCAGCUUGUCUCGAAGGACAUCUUUGUUAGAAAACAGUUUGCCCUACAAGUCAAUAUAGAAACAAACAAAUAUUCUACAUAAUGACACAGCUACGCGAUACUUUUCCAUCUUUAAAAUUUGUCACGUGGAACUAUCAAGAAAGUGGACACGGAAAAGGCGCUCCAGAUGGCAUUGGUGCGGUGGUAAAGAGAACUGCCGAUUAUCAAGUUAAAUGUGGGCGCGAUGUCGGAAACUUCUCAAAAUUUGUUGAAGUUGUUCAAGAAAACGUUAAAAAUGUCGAAAUAAGAGUAGUAGAAGAGCACGAAAUCAUAGAAAAAGACAUUCUUCUUCUCAAAGAUAUUUCGCCAUUCUCCAGGUAAUCUGGAAUUCUAAAUCUGAAUUUCUUGAGUUUAGAAAACUGAGCUGUUUCCUAUGUAUUGACAAAAUUUGCGAACAUGACAGUAAACAUAUGCAAUUCCAUAAAAUUGAUCAAAGAACUGAAACUAAACUUUCAUUUAAGAUGAUUUACAACAAGAAUGUAUCAAUGCUGUUAAAGUUUUAAUCAAUACAAAGAAAAUCCAUUAUCACAAAACAAUACGCGCCCUUAGUUUUGAUGAAAUGGCUAUAACGCAAGGUUUGGAUUUUGAUUUGGAUUUUGAUGAAUGCUAGGAUACAGAUGUUUUAUGCAAAAUGUUUGAAAUUGGCCAAACGUCUUUUCUUCCACAGGUCGUGUACCCAAAUGUUUCUUUUUCUUUUAAAUCUUUCCCUCCUUAUCUCUUCGGCCUCUUCCUCUUCUGCUUCAAUUAUAUGUGCAAUAAUAAUUAAAUCCAAAAUACCCAUUUUCUCUGCUUAAACACAAGGUUACUCGAGUUUUGUUGGAAGUGAACUGCGCAUAGGGGAGCGACCCGUGAAUUCAUCGCGGGCGCGAGUCCCGCGACUUCUCGAGCAUUCCAGCGACUUCUCGAGCAGUCGCGGGAAUCCGCGCGCCUUCUCUAUUGAGCGGGUCGCUGCGCUUCGCCGCUCUUUCGGUGUGAGUUGAGCCCAAUAGUCUAAGACACGAUCCAAACGCCUAAAUGCUCGUGGAACAGGUUUUUGGAACAAGUAUUUCUACGUACGCGUACUCCUAAGACUCAGUACAUAUUUUACCUAGUAUGUCUCAUCUCUACGAAGCAGAGAGAGGAAAAGCAAGACAUCCCCUUUCUCCGCUAAGCAUGGAGCUUUGCUUGUUCAAAUCUCAUCCAUUGUUGAAUGUUGUUAUAAAUGGAUGAGGUUUGAAACUAAGACCAUGUGGAUAUCUGUCCAGUCCAGCUUUUUUUAAGAGAAAAAAACAACAGUUGUUUAUCUGUAGCAGUAUGAUGCAAAGAGAAAGUUCGUCUUUCUCAACAAGACAUCCCCUGUCCCUGCUAAGCUAUAUAGACCUUAAAGAUAUUGGUCCAUCCCAAUUUUUUUUUUUAAGAAAUAAAUAACAGUAACUUAUUUAAGCAAUAUGAUGCAGAAAGAGACAAAAAACAAAACAUGCCCUUUCUCAGCUAAGCAUGAAGCUUGCGUGUUCAAAUCACAUAUUGAUACAAUAGCCCAAAUAAAUAAAGUUUUAAACUAUCUUAUGGAAAUGGGCCCAACACAAUUUCAUUUUUUUAAGGCAAGAAAUAACAGCUUAUUUACAGCUGGAUCUUUCAUAGGCAAAACAUCUACACACCAGAGUGUUUUUUUUCUGUUUUCAAUCCAUUAUGCAUUGGUUCAUUAUUCUAUUAUUGAUAUGAAAUCACAACACCAAGUUUUCCAAGAGCAAAAGAGCAAUAAUUCUUCUGAACAUAUUCCAAACUUUGUCAUUAAGAAAUGACAAUAGGCUACUUUUUUCACAUUAAUCUUUUGUAGAAGAU